UACCAGCACCCCCGAGUGGUCGGGACGAUUAUUGGGCCUAAAGCAUCCGUAGCCGGUUCUACAAGUCUUCCGUUAAAUCCACCUGCUUAACAGAUGGGCUGCGGAAGAUACUAUAGAGCUAGGAGGCGGGAGAGGCAAGCGGUACUCGAUGGGUAGGGGUAAAAUCCGUUGAUCCAUUGAAGACCACCAGUGGCGAAGGCGGCUUGCCAGAACGCGCUCGACGGUGAGGGAUGAAAGCUGGGGGAGCAAACCGG
rnacentral:rRNA from 1 species